GACGUAGGGGGCAAGCGUUGUCCGGAAUCAUUGGGCGUAAAGCGCUCGUAGGUGGAUCGGUAAGUCUGCAAAGAAAGACCCGGGCUCAACUCGGGGAACGGUGUGGAUACUACCGAUCUUGAGGCAAUCAGAGGAUGAUGGAAUUCCCGGUGUAGCGGUGAAAUGCGUAGAUAUUGGGAAGAACACCGGUGGCGAAGGCGGCUCACUGGCUCAUUACUGACGCUCAGGCGCGAUAGCGUGGGGAUCAAACAGG
rnacentral:rRNA from 1 species